AACGGCAACAGUAACAAUUCUCGGUCAGUGAUGAGGAGCAGGAUGGAUGACCCAUGCCAUGGACCAGUCUACCCUCAGGCAAAACACAGGCCACUGAGAGGUCUCACUGCUGUGACUGAAAUGGAAGCAAGAAGGACACCAAUGCAAAGAGCAUAUGGUCACAGCAAAGACUUUUUGCUCUUUUCACUGGAUAACAGAAGGAAAGUUAGAGAAGACGAGAGAAGUGUGUCUCCUCAAAAACAUCUGUGCCCUUUUCCUCCAAUCCAGGAAGCAUGGUAAGACUCCAAUGCAAGCACCCAUAACUCAGGCUGAACACAGCUGGCUGACAGCAUCUAGACUCCCAGUAGGUUUGCUGGUUGCUUUCACGAACUAGAGCAGCAGAGUGCCUGCAUAUCUCCUUCUCUAAUUACUCCCGCCUCCAACAUGGUGGCACUCUGCUGAGAAUGUGCAAAUCUCACUUCAAUUCAUCCUUCCAUCACUGGGUAAAUUGAUACUGGAAUCCAGGGGGCCCUGCGGGUGUGGAAUUCGAUAGAGGGGAUCUAAGUGGCUGAGAUCAGAUAUGAUGAACUGUAAUCCCCUUGGCACCAGCUCAGCUGUGUGUAAUACUGUCUUGCUCUAGCUAUAUUGCUCGUUACAGAGAAGGACAUGAGCUGCAUUCAUAGUCUGUAAAUGGGACGAGGGUCACAGAGCUCCAUGAACAGCCAUGAGCAUCUAGGUUGCAGUGUCUUACAUGCCAGUAAUCUGGAUAAAUUACAGCACUCUCACAGAUCACCAUCAGCUGAGCAGGGCUGCAGUGCAGGUCUGUCAAAAGUGAACACUAGGGCUGUACUGCAGUACUCUACUGCACUCCUGCUCUGGUUUCAGACCCUGACAGAUACAUCAAUCCAGGCUUAAGUACCCAAUUACCAUAAGUGAUGUAAGGUAAGUGUACAUGCUGAACCCACUUUAGAGUAAAAUUUGAUGACAGAAAAUACUUGAGGUUUUAAUGCUAAAGUCAGGGUUGGUAGCUUUUUCUUAUACAGCUAGAGCAAUAAAGGCUGGCAAAAACCCAGCUAGCACAGUUUUAGUAGAAAAAAAAAAACAGAUCCUCCUUGACAUUGCAUUUAAAGUUGUGUCUUGUCAGUUCGCUAAAGGUGUGAUUUCCAGGUACAUUCAGAAAGCAUGUAGCACUCUAUAUCUGCACUCUAAUGUGAUUCCUCCAGUACAUUCUUCCUGGGACAUUCUUUCUACAUUUAAAAUAAGGUUUCAUUAAUUAUACAUGUUUUCUCCAACACACAUUCCGCAUGUUUCCCUUUCUGUCCAUUAAUAUUUCAGCCUGUGCCACACCAUCCCCAUGUGUCCAUAAUCUCAACAUUCCAGUGGACAUUUUGCACCCAUAAAUCACUCGGUGACAUUAAGGAAGCCUAAGAUGGCCUUCAGUGCCACUUACUGCAGCCAAAUAUUGGGCCACGUCAACCUCCCUACCUCCCACUAGACUGUAAAGGGUCAGGCAUACAGCAUGCUGAAAUGUCACUGACAAACAGGGCCAGGCUUGAGAGGAGCCUCUGUCCAGCCUGAAUAUAGAUGGUCACUGGGAAUCUUAUACACUGUAUGGCUAAAUGUCUUCAAAUCCAUUUCACUGUAGGAGCAAAAAUAUUUUGGGUCAAGCUUGGCUUGGAGAUAUCAUUACCCUGCCAGAAAGCAAAGUAUCACUCCCUUAGGGUCUGUCUGUCUUCCUAUAUAUCUUAUCAUUUUUGAUUGGUAGCUGAGGGUCACAUGACAGUCCUGUUGCUGGUAUCUGGGGAGAGCAGUGUGUUGAUGGCAGCCGAGCCAAAGCCCAGAUGACCUCCCCUGGGUCUGCUCUAAAUGGAUUUCUGUUUUUCAUCUCUAAUCCUAAUGUUUAAGCAUGUGCGACACUGAGACUGCUGAUGCUGACGCUGCUGCAGCUGACGUGAACAGUGGGCAUGCUCCAGGUUAGCACAUCAAAACAGCACCGUGUUCGCCUUCACUCCUUUCACCUGAAAAGCCUUUUCUGUUUGAUUGACUCGACUGCUGUUUCCUGGUUGUGCAUUUUGCCAAGACUCUAGCCUUGCAUAUACACUCCCUCACUCACUGUUUCUUCCUCCGCAUGCUUUCAUUCCUGACAAAAACUCAUUCUAGCACACUACCUUCUGACUCUUACCAUUCUAACAUGGAAGGUAUGUGUGGAAUAACAAUGAUGACUCGGUUGGUGUGCCUCUCCCCCAAUUCCACCAGCAGUCAGCAAACUACUGUAUGCCUCCUUACCUCCUUUUACAGCAAUGGGGCUAUGCAUAGAGCAAGUGCACCAAACAGAAACACAGACACAGGACACAAGGGGACACUCACACACAUAGGGUGCACAGACAGGCAAUUUAAGAGAGAGAGUGAGAGAUAAAUACAGAUAAAAAGAAGAGAAAAAUAGAUAAAAAGGAGAGGAAAGAAGAGAGUUUCACAGGAGGAGAAGUGGGUGAAGUGCAGUACAGCUAGAGACAAUGGAUGAGAGGUUCUCAAAUUUCAAUCCUAUUCCUAAUAGAUGGCUGCAGACCCUGCUGCAGAACAAACGGAGAUUAAUACAGACAUGCCAUGUGUGGUGGGAUCUGCUUGAGUGAUAUUAAAAUGUUGUUAGUCUCUCUGAUCCAAUUCUUUCUGCUGGCAUACAAGCACAGCCUCUCCCAAUGUAUUAUCAUACAAAUCUCACGUAAAGAUGGAUGUUUGUGCAUCUGGUCACUACAGGCCAUUUCAUCAUGCACUUGCCCAGAAGACAGUUUAUGCAGGCUCUGGCUAGAGUGGAAUAGAUUACAUUAAAUUGUGAUAGAUUACCUUACACAAUAUGGCAGAAAGAAAUUGAAGUCUAUUUUACAAGCAGCCAAACCUCAUCCUUUUAUUGCCACUAAGGAUUAACUUAAAAACGUCACACAUUUCCAGCAGUAAUACCUAUCAUAGAAUGCAAAGGCCAUGUGGAGUGUGUGCUCACAAUAUCACUAGCCCUAGGGGCAGCUCCCAGUCCUGCAAACACAUAAAGCUGUAGUCAUAAAGACCUCAGCUCUGUAACCAUUGCUAUCUCCAUCACGCCCGGGGAUGUGACUGAGAAUGUCGUCAAAACAUAAAUAAAUGAGAGCCAUGAGGUCAUUGGAGGCACUCAAACCCUAACCCAUAACCACCCCCCUCCCUCCAGCCCUGGUUCAUGGCUGGUUCAGUACUUGCCCUUAGGUACAAUACUUCCAGCAUGAGGGCAAAUCCACAUCAAUGGCACAGCAAAGGUACACAAUGAGCAUGUUACUGAAUAUAAACACAGAAUCUUAACCACAGAAUGUAUUUGACACGGAGUACAUCCUCAUAUUAAUGUUUGACCAAUACGUUGUUAAUUGGAUAAAAUAUGUGAUAUUACAUUAUCAUUGGCUCACUCUUCAGCAUUGGCAGAAAUAACAGGUGCGUACCUAUUAGUCCAUUUGCAGAGUCCAAAUCAGAGCAAAAUUUGAUACUUUGGGUUCAUUUGUAAUUUGGUGUGUUUUCUCACUGCAUAUAAUUAAACAAACCAAAAAGCAAAAAAAAAAGUAGGCUAAGGGACGUGUAGAGCUGAAAACACAUGCAGAAUAGUCUUUCAAAUGCUUUCACACCUAUUAGUCAGUUGUUUGGUUUUCUGUUUAGUUGGCACCCUGAAAGUUACACAGGAAAACUGCUUAGAUGAAUCUGAUGCCUCUUACAAUAACAGACAAACAUAGGGUAGAGAUCUAGGUUGUGCUAAUAACCCGCUUCUAGAAUACUGGUUUUUGCUUUACAUCACAUGAAAACAUGAAAUCCAUGCAACCCAUCAGGACAACUUCUACUUGUCUUUUGAGUUGAGGUCGAAGUUUUGGGGGUUUAUGUAGACCCUACUGCAUACAGUGCCUAUUUGAAGCUAUCAGAUUUAUUCACCUGGAAAUUAAUUAUAAGAAUGUUGUAUCGGUCACCAAAUCAGUAAUGUUGGAUUAAAUGUCACGUCUGUUACAAUGCAAGGUGUAAAGGAACAGUUUUUGCAUCAAACCCCUCUCACCCAUUUAAACUGUUUAUGCUCUGGCAGUGUAUGUGAACUGCUCAUGAACUUAGAGACACAUGUAAUUAAACUACAAUAGAAAUGAAAACCUGACAAGUACAAUUUGUGCCCAUUUUCAAACACAUUUGGCAACCUCACAGCAUUUGGCUAUAAAACAUAAUUAUUUUAACAUUCUUUUUCCAUAGAUGCAUUUUCAUUGUGUGGUAAAUGGAUAGAGAAUUAUUUUAAAAGCAUAAUUCUCAAAACAACCUUUUCCUUUAUAUUCAUUUGCAACAGCUACUAUUACACACUUACUAUAUAUACCAUUACAGCAGUACUUAUACAGUAUAAUAAGAUUUGUUUAUUAGUUAAAGGUUUAGUCUAUCGUAAUUUAUAAUUUAUUUAGUCUAAACCUGUCACAUCACUCACAGACAGCCAGUGAAUGAACUGUAAAAGUUCAGUAUGAGGUGUGUAAAAGGAACAGACAUGCAUCUCACUUGAUAAAUUGUGAGACACUGAUCCACAAUACCUAAGAAGAAGGGAAAAUGUCUAUGUUUUAAUCUAUUUUACAUUAAAUCCAGUUAUUACUUUAGAUUAAAAAUUGAGAAAAAUAAAAAAGUUCUGCUUUAUUAUGUCAGUAAACUGAAUGGUAUCUGUGAAAAUUUUGACCAUCUAUUACUAUUAGCCAAAAUUAUUGGCUAUCAGAAUUUUGAGCUCUAAAAUUGGAUCAUAAAAGUUUUUUUCAGUCACAACCUAAUCCAUAAUAUAUUUUUUUAAAAAAGGAAAUUAUGUUGUAGAGAUGAUGCACAGACACAAACUUUAUAAACCACACUGAGAUGAGGUAAUGCAUUAAGCAUCAAGUCCUAUGUAAAUUGUUGAAAUUAUCAUCUUAAAGUUGAUAAUUGGUAGUGACACUCACAAUUGGUGGCCUGUUUUUAGGACCCUGCUUUCUAAAUAAGCAGCCUUCUGGAUUUGAUUAGAGAAGAACAUUUAAUUAGCACACAGAGUAGUGCUAAUUCCCCACUGUGGCUCAUCCUCUGGCUACAACUCAUGCUGGUGCCAUUAAUAUUUCCCCCACCCCUUUUUCUGAAGAGAUGAAGUGAUUUUAUUUAUCCCUGAUUAUCACAUUGCUUUGAGAAUGGAGUUACUGUUCACAAAAAGCAUAUGUGAAUACAGAGAGAGAUUUGUAUAAUAUACACGUACAGAGAGAUACACACUUAACAAAAAUGAUUCUCUGUUUGCAGCUCUUUCAUAUCUAUAAUGAAAACCCCUCUAGAGUCAGAUCCUUCCUUCUUUCUCUUGUCCUCCCAGUGGUAGAGCUCUCAGACUAGUUUGCGGCCGCUGUCUCCAGUCUACCCGCCGUACCUACUGCAGUACUCAUAUCUUCACUUAUCUAAAUGGAAUCUUUUCCUUGAGACUUGAUCUGUGCUGACAGAGGGAACAGUGCCCUCUCCUCUUAAAUUCUUCUCUCUUCACUAUUCUCACCUUUCUGUCUUGUUUGCUCUGUGUCUAAGGGUUGCACCUGAUAAGAGCACAUAUCUCCUAUGCUUGAUCAGCCCUGAGAUAGAAUAGGCUUGUGCUACAGAAAAAAAUAGAGUAUCAAGGAAGCCAAGAAUAUUCAGGAAUUCCAAAAAAAAUAUAUAUGAUUCCUAAUGAUUGAUAUUAAAAAUUGGAAAAACCGAGCUGGAAGAAAGCUCCAUAUCCAAGUGUGCAGAGAAAGAAAAAGGACUCAUGUGAGCCCUCAUUACCAUGCACAGCUAAUGAGCACAGCAGCUCCAGCACUAUUAGCCUGCUUGACUGGCUCUUUUGUAAGACUGAUCUGAAAAGCAGUGUCUAUGUGAGUAUAUCCACUGGGUUACAUACUAACUCUCCUUUGCAUAAACAAGCUGAGGAAAAAUGAGCUACUGCAUGACUGAAAUCACAGAUUGUUCUAUAACAAUCAUCAAAUACCAAAGCCAGACAUUGGGAUAAAUUGAAAAAAAGAAAACCACAAUUACAUAUGCAUAAUGGCUGCACAAACAUGAAACACAUGCAAACAGUGGUGCUGAAGGGGCGGGUGA